GAAGCUGAGGUGAUAGACCAACAGGCAGCCACCAGACUUUCUGAACUCUGGCUUUAAGCUAACCACAAGCCUGAAGAAAAUGGGAACUGUAAGGAGAGAAAACCAAUUCAAGCUAAUUCUGGAAGAGAUCUGAAAGCUGUCAGCAAGAGGAAAACAAUUUGAAGAAAGACAAGUAUUUGCUGUCAAGAGUUGUUAUCCUUUAAGAGGGCUGCUCUCAGAUUCUUGCAAUUUAUUGACAGCUAAAUGAAAUCAGGAAGCCAGAAUACUUAUUUGGCAACUCAGAGAUUUCUCCACUGUUAGAUAUCACCUGUAGACUCAAGCAGCAUUAUGAUGUAUGUUUUCUUGCUUCCAAGCACUAACAUACCUGAGAUUGGUUACAAAAGCCUGAGGAAACUCUUUUUCCUUUAACUUAAAAAUGCAUUCCAAAGUGUAAAACUUUAAGGUGUUGGUUUCCCCCUACUUCUAUUUUUAUUUCCAGCCGAAAAUAAAAGGAAACAGUGCUGUAUGAAAGUCUGAAGUCCUUAGGGAGAAGUGUUCAAAAACAAUCCAUAAACAUAGAAUCAAAAAUAAAUGUAACUUUAAAAUAAACUGAAUGCUUUCCCAUACUGUAUAGAAAAAAAAUUAAUAAAAUUAAUAAAAUCAAUCUUCAAAGCAGGUGUUAUCAAGUCGAAUUUUAUUUUGAUAAAAUCUGAGCAACUUUUAAGAUUUUUUAAGUAUGAUUCAGAUACUUCGCUGCUAAUUAUAGAAUUAAGGUGAUAUUUUGUCAACUGGAACCCAACAAAAAAAAUGCAACCUGUCCUUCUUUCUUACAAUUUUUU
rnacentral:lncRNA from 1 species